rnacentral:sRNA from 1 species
ACAGGUAAUCUACAAGACUACAAGGCGUCAAACAUUUACGCAUUGGGUAAAUUUCAUCUACUUCCAAUCAAAAGCUUUGGGUUUUGUCUAUGUGGGGUUUAUGUCUCGGAUAAGUGGUAACUAGUUUUUCUUAACGAUGGUACAUUUUUCAUGGAUAUAUCUUUGUAAUGGCUUUGUCUUCAUUAUUUUCCU